rnacentral:tRNA from 1 species
UCUCCUUUAGCUCAAUAGUCAGAGCGUCCGGUUGUUAACCGGAGGGUUCUGGGUGCAAGUCCCAGGGGGAGAU